AGGCUAUCUUUCUGAGCUUCCACUACUGUAAGGUGGAGUCAUAGUGUUAGAGUAGGUAGCUAAGCAGACAUGAGCAGGACAGGAGAGGACUCCCCACCCCCCCGCCCACAGGAAUGUCAGGCAACCAUCAGGUGAUGGUCAGGCAGUUGUUAACUGUCAGUCUAAAAUAAUAAUAGGGCAUAGGUGGCACCAAGGAAAGGAAGACUCCUAAUAGAAAACACCUGAAGCUGGUGAGCAGCCGCUUCCUGGAACACUCGACUGGUAAGGGGAGAAAUGCCUCAAAUGAGCAUGUGCACAACUUCAGUAAACAUGCUGUGCAUGUGGCCCCUCCCAAGUGCCCGCAGGCCACCACGCAAGUGGACAGCCCUGGACAGCCAGCCCCUAGGGAAGAAUCAAGGGAGGAGAAACAGAAGCCCUGGAACUGUGCUAGUAUAUAAAACCCCAAGUCAAGCGCUGAAUGGCACACUUGGAUCUCUCAAGUCACCUGCUUGGCCCCCUUCCAAGUGUACUUUACUUCCAUUUGUUCCUGCUCUAAAACUUUUUAAUAAACUUUCACUCCUGCUCUAAAA